CAUCCAAGAUAUCAGAGAACAGGGGAACGCAGUAUUCUGCAACCAUCUCAAUUAGAAUCCAGCGAACUGCUUGACCUCUGGAGGAGGAGAAAUAUAGUAUGCACUCGAUUUUAUCAUUAAAUCUUGUUAGAAUUGAGAUAGAGAUAAUUUCCAGUGAGAUUUCUCCCAAAUCAAAAUCUCAUUAGCAAUUGGGACCUAAACGUUCUUGAUUGGCAGACAUAUCAUUGAUGACAUGAUUGAACUCUUGCAGAUCAUUAAGUAAGGAGCAAUGUUUUGCAGAAUUAGGAGGCUGCGGAUGGCAUGGGGAGUGUCGGAGACAGGAUACCUGCACUCUCUUCGGACUACGGACUUCGAAUUUGGCAUUGGUGGUGACGGAGGUUGUCGCCAGAGGCCCCGAAAACUUCACCGAGUUCUGCACUGUAAAGCUCUCCGAAUCAAUAGUCUGCGAUAUCUCGUCCACCUUCACCAGCUCCGGCAGCCGCCCCGACGACAAAAGUGGGAACAAUCCCGAGAACGAAGUGUAACUGCGUCCGCGACCAAAUUGAUCGAUGAGAAUGAGCGAGAAGAAGGAUUUCAUCCAAGAUCUCGAAUCUUACGCGAGGAUCCAUUUGCCGUUGAGGAGGGCGAGGGCGUCGGUGGGAGCGGGCGUAGGGUUCUUGGCCUCGAGCUGGGUGAUGACCUCCAGGAUCUCUGCUCUCGUCUCGCUUGACGCCUUCAGCCCCCGGUCCGUCCCGUACAGCAGAUCAAUCAGCUUCUUCUUCAGCUCGCCAGCCUCGCUCACUGCCGGCGGCUGCGCCACCGCCACGCCGCCCUCCUCGCCCAGCUCGUCGUCGUCGACCAUCGCGCGGGUUCGGAACGGGGCUGGGGUUAGCAGCUGCAUCCCGAUGCCCCUCAAGGUGGGGGCUUUCAGGUGGAGGACACUGGGGGCGAGGUGUGGGCGGCCAUCAGCCACCACUGAGAAGGGAGCCUUAAUGGCCAAGAGAUUCCAAGACGCCACCGCAGACAUGGAGCAACUCUUGAAACUCCGACCGCCUUUGCGCUCUCGCCUUACCGUCUUCUUCGUUGGGCGAUUGAUACGGGGGGGUUGUUAUAUUAACUUUUUAACAUCCACUAGCUGCGCAACGCGUGGAAGGAGGACGCUACGCAAUCGGUCGGGGCGGAUAUUUUCUGAAGUCGAUCGUUCUAGAAACAUCUCGCGGCGCACGUGCUCACGUGAGGCAUCAACCCUGAAAACUGAGAAAUACAAUGAGGUAAGAUUUGUAUUUGUCAUAUCAU